GCACGUGAGGCUCAAGUGGGCCACGCCCGUAGAAAUACGGAGUGAAUUUCGGCUAUAUCGGUGAAACCUUCAGGCGAAAGCACAGGCAAUACCGAGGAAAGAUCUCCGGAGUAAUCCAGAGAAAUCCGUAGAGACUAUACGCCGAACUUGUCGUUAGUUUGCAAAAACUAGCAGAUAAGAAGAUAUAGUCCGACACUCUUGGAAACAAGAGA
rfam:Microgenomates bacterium GW2011_GWB1_45_17 TX00_C0014, whole genome shotgun sequence.